GCCAGUAACGGACAUGGCUGCAGCCCCUGGCGGAGGGGACGUGAAGUGAGGAGGGGGGCUGGGAGGGGAGAGGAUGCGGGCGAGGAAGACGCGCCUCUGGGCCUGGACUCUCGUCUUCGAACCUGGCUUGUCUCCUUGGGGGUCCUUCAACAGAAGUAAAGCGUCUUUCCAACAAAGAAUUCUUGCCCUAACUUUGCCGUGGCUGGGCCCUGGGCCAGAGGCUGUCGACGGUGAUGCCAUGAGUAUUUAUAGUCGUCUGGGAGUACCCAUCCUCGGCCCAAGUAAAGACCCUUGUCUUUCCUUUGGGCGUUUCUCUGCUGCCUAUGGCCCUCGUGCUGACUGCCUCCUCUGUCCCCUGUGGAUGGAGUUGAGAGGGUCUCAUCAUAGCUCUGAGCUGCGAUAUUGGAGUCUGAAGCGUGUUUUUUUUCUUUUUCCUUUUUCAGAAUCGUUUUAAGCCUUCUCAGAAGCAACCAUAGCAUCACCAUAUUUGCCAUCAUAUAAAUCGAUUUCUGCCCUAAGCCCUCGUUCCUCCACCGCACACCCUAAAGCCCAGUUCUCACAGUCCCUUGUUUGCUACGGUGUGAGCCCCUACCCCGUGGCCAGUGCCACACUUGAGUAAAAUCCUGUUCUCCUUUCAUUGGUGUGUAACCAUGGGCUACACUUUGGCGUGUUCAUUGAUUUGGUCACGUGCUGUUCCAUCUCACCCUUUCCUGAGUUUUUCUAUGGCUCUUGAGGAAAAAGAAGGGAAUUGAACACAGAGUUGCUUUCCUUUUGGUACUGGUUUUGUGCGUUGGAUGGGAUGCUAUUUUCCUAUGCUUUAUCCAAGAUGCUCAGCUUUAGUGACAGUUAAAUUAUUCCCUAGGGAUGUUCUUUUUUUUUUUUUAAAGGUUUUUUUUUUUUUUUUUUUUUUUUGAGACAGGGUCUUGCUCUUUAAUUCAGACCGACCUUGAACUCACUAUGUAGCCCAGCGUGGCCUCGAACUCACAGCAGUCCUCCUGCCUCAACCUCCCAAGUGCAGGGAUCACAGAUGUGCACUACCGCCACCACCACAUCGCCCCGCCUCCCUAGGGAUAUUCUUGAGAGAGG
rnacentral:lncRNA from 1 species